rnacentral:rRNA from 1 species
CAUUCAGUUGGGCGACUCUAGCGAGACUGCCGGUAAGUAAACCGGAGGAAGGUGGGGAGUGACGUCAAAUCAUCAUGCCCCUUACUGACCUGGGCUACACACGUGCUACAAUGGUUGGUACAACGAGUUGCGAGUCGGUGACGGCGAGCUAAUCUCUUAAAGCCAAUCUCAGUUCGGAUUGUAGGCUGCAACUCGCCUACAUGAAGUCGGAAUCGCUAGUAAUCGCGGAUCAGCACGCCGCGGUGAAUACGUUCCCGGGCCUU